UUCGAUGGGCGGGCCGUGGUGGGGGAGCCUCGCGGCUCGCCGGUUUCUGGUACUACGCACCGGUCUGCUAAACCCAUCAAUGUGCCCGCUCACCACC
rnacentral:antisense_RNA from 1 species